UGGGGAAUAUUGCACAAUGGGCGCAAGCCUGAUGCAGCCAUGCCGCGUGUAUGAAGAAGGCCUUCGGGUUGUAAAGUACUUUCAGCGGGGAGGAAGGGAGUAAAGUUAAUAUCUUUGCUCAUUGACGUUACCCGCAGAAGAAGCACCGGCUAACUCCGUG
rnacentral:rRNA from 1 species